ACCGUUGAAAGGGUAGGGAAACUGGAGUGUUAAUGGGCUCUUCUUUAAUGGGCUUGACAGUAGCAGGCUGAUGUGUGGGAGAGUCGGAGCUCGAGCGAUCGGUGUUGCUGCGAUCUUGUUUGGAACUUGAUGAGUCUUACUAAUACUCCCCCGCAAACUCUGUGUGGGAGGGAGGACCACACCGAGUUUGUACCUGAGUUCACUGAACGGUCGGAAAGGAAGCGACUUCGUGAAGAUGUCGGCGAUCUGAUGAUGACCAGGAUUGGCGGAGAGAUACACUGCGGACAAGUUAUCACAGUAUAACUCUGGAGGUUGAUACUGAGGAAUUCCCAGUUCUUUGAGGAUGUUACAAAUCUAGGAGAUCUCAGCAGCAGCAUCGGACAUAGCUCUGUAUUCAGCUUCGGUGGAACUUCGAGCCACAGAGUCCUGUUUCUGAGAUGCCCAGGAGAUCAAAUUAGUGCCAAGGAUCCGUUUGAGAAGAUGAAAGUCAGCAAACGUUGGAGCAUGCGUUUUCUGACAUACAAAGUUCACCGCAAAUUGAAUGUCGGGUCUUGUAAG